rnacentral:lncRNA from 1 species
UAAAUAACUUAUAUUUUAUUCGAAAGAGAACAAUAUAAGUUAUGAGUUUGAGCUUAUAUCAACGACGAGAUAAACAUAAUUGAGGAAAAGAUACAAGGUGUAAUGCAAGAGUAAGAAGAUCCUAACCUCCCUUCUAAAAUCAUGAUCAUAACACUAUGUAUGAUAAUGAUACUUCCAUUACCAUGAAUAAUUUAUAAUAACUUAACCAUUAUUCCAAUUGACAUAUGAUAAUGAGUUUAACAUUAUCUCAAUUGACUUAUGAUGAUUUUAAAAUCAAGUUCUACCCCAAUAUUCUGAUCAAAAUCAAGUUCUAUCCCAUACUUUAAUUGCCUGAAACACCCACCUCAAAGAAGUUCUCUGAACAAUGUUCUCUCUUUCAGAACAUUUUUGUAACAAAAAAAAUGUUACCUCUUAGGGAUGUUGUGUGGAUAUGUAACUUGAUCUCUGAUGGCCUAACCCUAUGCUUCGGCUAUGCUUGCAUAACUUUACCGUUAAGAGUCUGUUUGCGAGUUGGUUUUUGAAGGGUAAUAAGGAAAAUAGAAAGGUUUGGGAGAAAUGAAAUACACUUGUGAGAUAGUUCCGAAGCCUUUCAUUUCUCUUCUUUCCCUUUCAAAACAUAACUAACAAAUAGACCCGAAGUCUUAUUCCAACCUCCGGCUAAGGGCAAGGUGUGUGGAAUAAGGCAGAUUCAAAGGAGGCACAUCUAGACACAGUAGAAACUUUACAACAAAUAGCCAAUUUUAAGACACAAAAUGGCAACUUAAUGAUAGAGGCUAAACAACAAGAAUUACUAAAUCUUAUAAACCAGUUGAAAAAUUACCAAGUAAUAACCUAAUAACCAAUGCUCAAAAUUUUUAUACAACAUCAACGGCUUCCGGUGUCGGCACCAUUGGUGCUGUCGUGUUUUUUUGGUGCACCCUAAAUGCUAGCAAUGAAAGGUAAUAUUCUGAUGGCUUAAAAAAGAUAGUGAUCUUGGCGAUCUGUCUAUUAUCGAUGAGGCUCUUUGACACACGCCAUCGGAUUUGGCAAUAACUUUUGAUCAAGUGGCUUCAACCCUUUUCCAGACCAAUAAGUUACAAAUGAAGUCUCUAGCUUCCUCACCUAUCAUAACAAUUAUUAAAAUACAGGUAAGAAGAAAAGAAACAUGUAACUUGCUGAGGGAUAGAACAAAUAUUUCGGGUAAAUGAUUGAUCGUCUUAGAAGUACUAACUACCAAAUCCAAAAAUUCUUAGUUAAAUUUUGAAGUGUCAGCAAUGUAAAUCAAUUAAACAAGCUAUCUACUGGAAUUUUGCAGUAAGCAUUAAUCAGAAGCACAUGUUAUUCCAUUUCUCUUUAUAUUUAUGAAACAUAAAACAUUCAUCAAUCUUCAUAAAUCACGAGGCAUUGUAACUCGAAUUUCAAACACCAAGCUAGUCCAAAAGCACAGUCAAUGAGGGAUACAAAUACAACUUAAAUUGAGACUUUCCUCAAAUUUCAUUUGGCCCCUCCAUGUAUCAUUCCAUCAAAAGAAAAUAAAUAUACCUUUGAGACUUAAUUGAUAUAAAUGACCAUAAAUGCCACCGAAAUCGAGAAAUCAUUUAGAAUGGACACAAGCCCUCAAGCAGGGCUAUAUUGGAAGAAUGUAGAUAAUGACAAAGUUAAGGUGUGGUAGGAAUGAGAUCUUAGGAGCAAGGAGAUGAAAUAAAUUUCUUCUAAUCCUUUUAGUAGAAUUUCCUGCUUAAAUUCUGUGAAACAAUUUAAUCUUUGUGUAUGCUCUGUGGAAUACACUUUUCACAUUUUUACAGAAGUUUCACUACUUGUUUCAAAAAGAGUAAAAUGGAAGCUUUUCUGCCUGAUGAUUUUCUCUGCUAAAUUAUGUUUUCUCUUUUUUAAAGGGUCAGUCAAAUUUACUAAUAAAUUUGUUCUAUUAUUGGAAGUAAGAAAUCACAUCAAACACUUCUCCAAUCCAAAACAGAAAAUGAAUAUGAAGAACAUACCUGCUUAACAAUAAAUGGUUCCUCAGCGGGACUAAAGGGCUCUGUCAAGAUAGUUAAAAACCCAUUUCGAUUACCGUAAACAAUGUCAGUGAAGGGCCGAUCACCCACCUGCCACAGAAUAUUUAUCGUAUAAUUUAACUGCAAAUCAUACUACAAGACAAAUAUCUAAUAGAAAAUGAACACUACAAUAUUCUUAUCUACCAUGAUUAAUUGAGAAGAUUUACAACCAAAAUGCUUUUCAAUUUCUUCAGCUGUACCAGCUGGCUUCUUUACCCCUGCAACAUACAAACAAAUAUGAACAUCAAUGCUAGUAUCUUUCUACCGAUGGAACAUUUCAUAGCCCUGGAAUUUUACCACGGCAGAAGAUAACAUGUGUUUUCGAGACCAACGAAAUAUUUAAGAGUCAAAGCUCAGAAAGAAAAGGCAAGGCUCACUAUGUCUGAUAACUUUAAUUCCAAUCGCAUUCUCAAGCAUCCGAGCUUUUGAAUCAUCAUGGUCGUACUCACGAAGUCCUGAUUCACAACACCAACAAUAAAACAACACAAAACCAUAGUGUGACUGUGUGAGCAACAACUACAACCAUAAAAUUCAAAUCAAUUUUGAAAUGCUUUCAUACUACAAUUACCAGCAGAGUUACUAAACACAGCAACACGAGGACCGAACUCCAAUUUACAACGAUCCAAUGAAGACUCGAGAGGAGGCCAUGGCGUCAACGAGUAAGGCACCGUAAUAGUAUUAUCCUUGUCAAAUACAACACCCUUAAACCCCCUUCUAUGCAACUCAGCCCAAUCAAUAUACCUAAUAUCCGGGACCGAAAUAUGAGGCAGUGCCAAUUUCGGGUCACUAAAUAUCUCCAAGGUUGAAAAUAAAAUACCCUCCAAGUUAAUUCUUUGGCCAAAUGCUGCUUUCAUAUCAACCCACCACAUGUUUGUGAAAAGUACCCUAACCUCCUUAACCUCCUUAUCCCCCUUCAAUUCUCUUUCUUCAUCCUCUACUCGACGUUGAUCGUUAUUUCCAUUAUCUGGAUUAUGAUUAACCAUAUCUUUUGUGUCAAUGCCACGAAAACGCUGUCGAAAAAUCGAGUAUUUACGGCUUUGAUUUGAAGUGGAAUUGUAACCAUCCCUCCCAAUAUCCCUUUCCUUCCCUUUGCAGCAACAAUUGUGGGUCUGUGGAAGCCUCGAACCGCGAUAUAUGUUUACGAUACGAAUUCGGCUAUCAGCAUUGGCAAUCAUAAGUUUUCUCUUAUGUUUGCCAUUGUCAUGAUUAUGGCUUUGAAUGAACCAACCACCGGGAAGGUGAACAGCAGGAGCAAUAGUUGGCAUCAUCACUAUACAGUUUUUUCUUUCUUUCUAACUAAUUAUCGGAAACAGCCUCUUUGCCUGCGAGAAUAAGACUGCAUACAUCUAUCUUCCUCCAACUCUGAUGGAAAGAGUUUCGUGCAUUGGACUGCCUUAACUAAUUAAUAUAUUGUUGGUACGAGUGUUUGCUUUGAUCAUCGCUAUGUAUAUAACAAAGAGUAGCGUAAUUAGAACUAUGAAGAUUUUAAGGAGAAAGAAAACACGUGGAAAUUAUUUAGAUUAGAAACAAAAGUAUAAUUAAAAAAAAAAGGAGAUAGGAAGAAAGAGAAUGAAGAAGAGAAUUGGGGAAUGAAGAAGGUUUUGUGUGUGUGGAGGAGAGUGAUUUGGGUGGAUUUUAUGUGUUUGUUGGUGAAGGGUUUUAAGCUAUGGUGGGUCCACUUUAAUACUUAACAUUUUUACUUCAAUUUAUUCACUAGAAUUUUUAUUCAAUUAUCUAUAAUUGAUUUUCAAUUAUUAUUGACUCUUAAAUUAUUAUACAAUGAUUUAUGCAUUGUCUGUAUAUAAAUAUUUAUAUUGUCUGUAUAUAGAUAUUUAUAUUCGUUCAUUUCAAAAUGUGAGAAAAUUGUUGGGUGUUUGCCUUAUGAACAAGUUGUAACAAAAAGUGAAAAUUUGAGUUUUCAAUGUUAAAUAUAUAUUUAUCUAUUUUAUUUAGUCUAUAAGAUAAGGAAGUUAAUAUGUUAAUUUUGAAACUAGUUGUAACCAUUUUUUUGUUGUCUAGUUAAAGGUGGUAAUUUAGUGAAUAACAUACACAUCAGUUCACAGUUUCUCCUAUUGACAAGUUUUAUGCAACAAGUGUUUGUUACCAAUGUUUGAGCCAACCCUUUUAUCACUAGAUACUACAAAUCUAAAAGUGGUGUAAUUUCACAUAUACCACUAAAAAAGACAGUUCAUUGCACGAGAUUACUAUUUAUUAAGUUAUGAGAUUAGUAGAUAUAUACAACUUGACCUUAACAAGUGAAGUAACUUUAAGGAUAGUGCUCUUAUGCCUUUUGUAUUCUUUCUACAUAAGCAUAAGCAGGAAGUGGUAAUCUUUUUUUAUUUUCCACAGGUAUUUUUGUAUUGGAGACAAUUAUGUCCGAGUCGGGAACAUUCAUAUGUAUGUGGAGUUAACUCUCACCGCGGACAUUUUUUCAUCUACAAGACUUAAACCCGAAACUUUGCUUAAGGAGAAUCAAACAUAUACCACUUGAACCAGCAUCCAUUGAUAAGAAGUGGUAAUCUGUUAUAGCUUAUUGAUUGACCUAAAUUUGAUAAUUUGUUUGUCUUUGUUAUGUGGUGGCUUUUAUGAUAUGGACUGAGUGUGUUUACUGUUUGUGAUGGGCACAUGCUCUUGUAUUUGUAGCACAUUGAUAAAAAUGAGUGUUCCAAUUUGCAUCGUUAUAUUCUUCAACUCAAAGUUUACUUCAAGUAUUAGAUGACUCUUUCGGUAUGUUAAUGAUCUAUACUAGUCACCCGAUAAACCCAUUUUGUAUGCAAUAUCGAGUCUAGUACAAUCUAGAUUUAAGAAGGCUACUAACAAUGCUUGCAUAUUCAAGUUUCUUACAUUUUGUCACCAGUUUUCAUUCACUCUAAAAGCACGAGAGAUGACUAAACUGUUGAAAUUUCUCAUGUUGCCUAUGAAUUUGUUCAAAACCAUAGAGAAACUUACAAACCAAUAAAUCAUAUGCUCUUGAUUGAGAAGAAAACAGAAUUCAACAUUUAAAAAAAGCAUGAGAGAUGCCUCCAGUGUUUCAAAUUUUGGACCGCAUCACGUGAUGCGGCCGCAAUACUGUGAUUGUGGUGAUCGCUGCAACCAUAUCAUACGUAAUUGUAGUGUGAUACCGAAUCAUAAUGAUGUCACCACAACAAGCCAUAAAACAACCGCAUUGGGCUGCUACGCAACCACAUCGAUGUCAAAAAUAUGUUUUUACUCACAAAAUAAUUCACACCGCAACGGCUGCAAUCCGUAUUGCAAAGGCCACAAUAACCAUAAUCGCAUUAACCACAACCACGACAGCAACCUCACUUUAAAACAUUGUGCUCCAUAUAGAUCUUUUCUUCUAAUUCACCAUUAAAAAAAGUUUGAACAUUUCUACCUACACAAUCAAAUUAUGAAUGACACUAGAAGAAAACAGAAUUCUAAAGAAUAUUAUUCUAGAUGCAGAUGAAAAGUUAUUAAAGAAAUUUCAAUAGUGCCAUUGAGUCUCAAUCUCUUUCUCUUCUUCAAAAUUCACUUCGAGUUGAAAUGUUCACUUCGAGUUGAAAUUCACUUCGAGUAAAAUAAUGGAAACGGAAGCAUUCAGAGCCAUUUCUCCUUCAUCCGGUACAAAACUCAAAUUGUAAACAGAUCCUAAGUCGCAUUAUUUUGCAACACUACACCAUUUGCCAUCCUAAUAAACAGUCCCACACAAACAAAACAUAAACCACAACAACAACAACAAAAUAAGAUUAGAAACAAACCCAAAAUAAAUUCCUCAACAACAUAAAGUCAUGAACAUUCUCCAAAAAACAACAAAUGAUCAUAGCUGAAACACAAUAGUUUUGUUAGAAUCAGAAAAACUCUUGUUCUUCUUCUUGUUUUUUCUAGACUUACGAGUCUGAAACCCAAAAUCAUACCCAAUACCUUGUCCAAACCCAAAACCAAAACCAAGACCACAACCCAUUCCAAAUCCAAAAACAAGGUUCAAAUUGUUAAAUGGUGACAACCCAUUUCCAAUUCCAAAGGCACCAACCAAACCCAAUCCUAAUCCAGCACCACAUCCAAUUCCAGCACCAAAUCCAGGACCCAACACUAUAGAUGUUGUUUCAUCUUUGUUUGGUUUGUUUCCAAGCAACUUUGUUAUUGUGAAUUGUUCUUCUUCUUCUUCCUUCUUGUUCUUGUUGUUGUUGUUCCAUGUCCAGAAUGAGUUUUCAUCAGCUAUGGUUUUCAUUAGAAGAAAAUGAAGAUGUGGUUAUGGUGAAAAAAUGGAUAGGAUUUUAAUGGGUAUAGAGGUUUAUUCACUUCAUCAUGUUUCAGCCCAAUAUAACAUAUUUACU